rnacentral:rRNA from 1 species
GACGAACGCUGGCGGCGUGCUUAACACAUGCAAGUCGAACGAAGUGGCGAACGGGUGAGUAACGCGUAAUCAACCUGCCCUUCAGAGGGGGACAACAGUUGGAAACGACUGCUAAUACCGCAUACUGAAGGGGGGGAUUGCGUCGGAUUAGCUAGUUGGAGGGGUGACGGCCCACCAAGGGGAUGGUCAGUAGCCGGGCUUGAGGGAUGAACGGCCACAUUGGGACCUGGACACGGGCCAGACUCCUACGGGAGGCAGCAGUGGGGAAUCUUCCGCAAUGGAGGAAAGUCUGACGGAGCAAAGCCGCGGGAGUGAUGACGGCCUUCGGGUUGUAAAGCUCUGUUAAGCGGGACGCGGUACCGGAAUAGAAAGCCACGGCUAACUACGUGCCAGCAGCCGCGGUAAUUC